GCCUAUCAGCUUGUUGGUGGGGUAAUGGCCUACCAAGGCGUCGACGGGUAGCCGGCCUGAGAGGGUGGACGGCCACAUUGGGACUGAGAUACGGCCCAGACUCCUACGGGAGGCAGCAGUGGGGAAUAUUGCACAAUGGGCGCAAGCCUGAUGCAGCGACGCCGCGUGAGGGAUUGAAGGCCUUCGGGUUGUAAACCUCUUUCGCUAGGGACGAAGCUUUUUUGUGACGGUACCUAGAUAAGAAGCACCGGCUAACUACGUGCCAGCAGCCGCGGUAAUACGUAGGGUGCGAGCGUUGUCCGGAUUUACUGGGCGUAAAGAGCUCGUAGGUGGUUUGUCGCGUCGUCUGUGAAAUUCCGGGGCUUAACUUCGGGCGUGCAGGCGAUACGGGCAUAACUUGAGUGCUGUAGGGGAGACUGGAAUUCCUGGUGUAGCGGUGGAAUGCGCAGAUAUCAGGAGGAACACCGAUGGCGAAGGCAGGUCUCUGGGCAGUAACUGACGCUGAGGAGCGAAAGCAUGGGGAGCGAACAGGAUUAGAUACCCUGGUAGUCCAUGCCGUAAACGGUGGGCGCUAGGUGUGAGCCUCUUCCACGGGGUUCGUGCCGUAGCUAACGCAUUAAGCGCCCNGCCUGGGGAGUACGGCCGCAAGGCUAAAACUCAAAGGAAUUGACGGGGGCCNGCACAAGCGGCGGAGCAUGUGGAUUAAUUCGAUGCAACGCGAAGAACCUUACCUGGGCUUGACAUGUACAGGAUCGGGCUAGAGAUAGUUUUUCCUUNNUAGGUCUGUAUACAGGUGGUGCAUGGUUGUCGUCAGCUCGUGUCGUGAGAUGUUGGGUUAAGUCCCGCAACGAGCGCAACCCUUGUCUUAUGUUGCCAGCACAUUNUGGUGGGGACUCAUGAGAGACUGCCGGGGUUAACUCGGAGGAAGGUGGGGAUGACGUCAAAUCAUCAUGCCCCUUAUGUCCAGGGCUUCACACAUGCUACAAUGGUCGGUACAACGCGCUGCGAGCCUGUGAGGGUAAGCGAAUCGCUGAAAGCCGGCCUCAGUUCGGAUUGGGGUCUGCAACUCGAGCCCAUGAAGUCGGAGUCGCUAGUAAUCGCAGANCAGCAACGCUGCGGUGGACGAGGAAGCA
rnacentral:rRNA from 1 species